GCCCGCGUAGCUCAACGGUGAGCCCCUCUGCUUCAUAUCGCGUUCUUUUGUAAUUUCCAGAGAAGCCGUGGGUUCGACUCCCACCGCAGGCA